CAAAGGAAAAGACUUCUGAAUCAAGUUCCAAGUCAGAGUUUGAGCGUUUCAUUUUGUGUAGCCUUCUAAAGUUGGUAUGAGCAGAUGAUGAAGACUUACUUCCUGAGGCUUUCAAUCUGUUGGGGCACCAGAGUGCUCUCUUCUCCAGUGGCUACCAGGUGUCUGGAGAUCAGCCUGUCUGGCUCAUGUAAAAGUCAAGGGCUGGGGAUGAUGCUGUUAGAGACAAUACACAGAAGGGACUGCACCCAUGGAGGAGCAAAGUAUUUUGGAAAACUAAAAGGAUGACAUGUAACUGAGAAGAUGCCAAAAUUUGAACAUUUCCACCUUGACUCUGACCUAAAACUCUAUUAAAUAUAACAAGACACUUCUUCCUCCCUUCCUUGUGUAUUCUGAAUUUAAUGUUAUAUGAUGCUGUAACAAAGAUUUAUGUUUGGGUUGGACUAGAGCACCUCUGAGAAUUAAGAUUUAUAAGAGUAGAU
rnacentral:lncRNA from 1 species